CAGCAGCCCGGUAAUACGGAGGGUGCAAGCGUUAUUCGGAUUCACUGGGCGUAAAGGGUGCGCAGGCGGCCAGGUGUGUCAGGUGUGAAAGCCCGAGGCUUAACCUCGGAAUUGCGCCUGAAACUGCUUGGCUAGAGCAUUGGAGAGGGUAGCGGAAUUCACGGUGUAGCAGUGAAAUGCGUAGAUAUCGUGAGGAACACCAGAGGCGAAGGCGGCUACCUGGACAAUUGCUGACGCUCAGGCACGAAAGCGUGGGGAGCAAAAGGGAUUAGAUACCCCUGUAGUCCACGCCCUAAACGGUGCACACUAGGUCUUGGAGGAUUCGACCCCUUCAGGGCCCAAGCUAACGCGUUAAGUGUGCCGCCUGAGGACUACGGCCGCAAGGCUAAAACUCAAAGGAAUUGACGG
rnacentral:rRNA from 1 species